GACGAACGCUGGCGGCGUGCUUAACACAUGCAAGUCGAACGGAAAGGCCCUGCUUUUGGGGUGUGCUCGAGUGGCGAACGGGUGAGUAACACGUGAGUAACCUGCCCUUGACUUUGGGAUAACUUCAGGAAACUGGGGCUAAUACCGGAUAGGAGCUCCUGCUGCAUGGUGGGGGUUGGAAAGUUUCGGCGGUUGGGGAUGGACUCGCGGCUUAUUAGCUUGUUGGUGGGGUAGUGGCUUACCAAGGCUUUGACGGGUAGCCGGCCUGAGAGGGUGACCGGCCACAUUGGGACUGAGAUACGGCGCAGACUGCUACGGGAGGCAGCAGUGGGGAAUAUUGCACAAUGGGCCGAAGCCUGAUGAAGCAGCGCCGCGUGCGGGAUGACGGCCUUCGGGUUGUAAACCGCUUUCGCCUGUGACGAAGCGUGAGUGACGGUAAUGGGUAAAGAAGCACCGGCUAACUACGUG
rnacentral:rRNA from 1 species